rnacentral:rRNA from 1 species
GACGAACGCUGGCGGCGUGCUUAACACAUGCAAGUCGAACGGAAAGGCCCUGCUUUUGUGGGGUGCUCGAGUGGCGAACGGGUGAGUAACACGUGAGUAACCUGCCCUUGACUUUGGGAUAACUUCAGGAAACUGGGGCUACUACCGGAUAGGAGCUCCUGCUGCAUGGUGGGGGUUGGAAAGUUUCGGCGGUUGGGGCUGGACUCGCGGCUUAUCAGCUUGUUGGUGGGGUAUUGGCUUACCAAGGCUUUGACGGGUAGCCGGCCUGAGAGGGUGACCGGCCACAUUGGGACUGAGAUACGGCCCAGACUCCUACGGGGGGCAGCAGUGGGGAAUAUUGCACAAUGGGCGGAAGCCUGAUGCAGCAACGCCGCGUGCGGGAUGACGGCCUUCGGGUUGUAAACCGCUUUCGCCUGUGACGAAGCGUGAGUGACGGUAAUGGGUAAAGAAGCACCGGCUAACUACGUG